rnacentral:rRNA from 1 species
GUGCCAGCCGCCGCGGUAAUACGGAGGGGGCAAGCGUUGUUCGGAUUUACUGGGCGUAAAGGGUGUGUAGGCGGUUGCGCAAGUCUGGUGUGAAAUCUUCACCGCUUAACGGGAAGAGGUCACUGGAAACUGCGUAACUCGAGUAUGGUAGAGGCAAGCGGAAUUCCUGGUGUAGCGGUGGAAUGUGUAGAUAUCAGGAAGAACACCGGUGGCGAAGGCGGCUUGCUGGGCCAUCACUGACGCUGAGACACGAAAGCGUGGGGAGCAAACGGGAUUAGAAACCCCGGUAGUCC